rnacentral:rRNA from 1 species
GACGAACGCUGGCGGCGUGCUUAACACAUGCAAGUCGAGCGGUAAGGCCCUUUCGGGGGUACACGAGCGGCGAACGGGUGAGUAACACGUGGGUGACCUGCCUUUAGCUCUGGGAUAAGCCUGGGAAACCGGGUCUAAUACCGGAUAUGACUCCGCGGCGCAUGUUGUGGGGUGGAAAGCCUUGUGCGGCUGGAGAUGGGCCCGCGGCCUAUCAGCUUGUUGGUGGGGUGAUGGCCUACCAAGGCGACGACGGGUAGCCGGCCUGAGAGGGCGACCGGCCACACUGGGACUGAGAUACGGCCCAGACUCCUACGGGAGGCAGCAGUGGGGAAUCUUGCGCAAUGGGCGAAAGCCUGACGCAGCGACGCCGCGUGAGGGAUGACGGCCUU